UCUAAAGAGAUUGUUCCUUAUCUGAUUGUUCACUGACACAGCGAUUUUAUUGGUCCUGUCUGGAACCUGUAGGGCGUGGCCUUGUGUCUCUGGUCUUCCUAUAAAUGACAGACGCACGAGCACAAAUUUACACGUAAACAAUUGUUCCUGCUGAUCUUACGGUGACCUGCUGCACAGGGCCAUUGUCAGAACUCACAUCUACUCACCAGACCAAACAGUAGGAAAUUCCUCGGGAACAGAGAAACUUCUAAACCACCUCCAAGAUGGAUACCUUCCUGAGACUUACCGCUGUUCUUUCAGUAUUGCUGUGUGCGGCAUUUGUUUCCACAACAGUUGAAAGUGCACAGACAAAGCAUGAACUCAGCAGACGCUCACUGGCAGACCUUCUGGCCAGCUCUCCAGCCGCCCUCAUCCCGGGUCUGGUACUGUUGGCUCCCGCCAGCACCAUCGUCGAAAUCAUCACAAACUGAACGAGACGAUCCAGCAUAAAGUACUGAGCGCUCUGUCCGGCUCCCAGAUCCUGCAGGUGGUCCACAAGCUGUCUGCUCAUCAGCGCGAUCAGCUCAUCAGUCACCUGGAGGUCAGCGUCAUCACCGGUGUCGUCCUCCCAUCUCUCAAUGAGAACCAGCUGGCCCGUCUGCUGGAAGCCCUCCUGCCCGAGACCCUUGUCACCUUGACCAAGAGGCUGACCCCUCAGCAGGUGCUGGACACCAUCAAGAGGCUGACACCCCACGAUCUCGUCGCCGUCCUCAAGCUCCUCACUGAUGCUCAGGUGACCGACAUCUUGACUCGACUGCCGCGCGAAGGCGUCCAGGCUCUGGCCACCGCCACCGGUGACGCUCGUCUGACUCAACUGGUGGCUGCCCUCCCUGCAGCAUAAGAUGAACACCAUGAGAUGAACCUCCUACAGAUGACGCCGGAAGUGUGCGGCGCUGUUGACGUCACCGGAGUUCAGCAGUUACAACGUUUACAUCGUCUGUGUUCCACGAUGUCAUUCCUGUCUUCUGCAAAGUGUGUAACUGUAACUUAAAGCAAAUAAAUGAUCAUUGAUAUUGUU